rnacentral:lncRNA from 1 species
UUCGCUUAUUGCCGUUGCCGUCACCGAUCUUCCCAUCAUCGCUCGUCGUCGUCAUCGCCGCCGCCGUCAUCGUUACUGUCCCUAUUGCUUAUUCAGGUAUUGCUUGUUCUGGUAUUACUCGUUCUUGAUCAUUUCCAUCAGGUAUUGCUCGUUCUUACUAAUUUCCCUAUUCAUUUGGCUUUGCUUUGGCAUUUCGAACAGACGUAUUUGAAUGGUUCCUUCCCC